UACGGGGGGAGCAAGCGUUGUUCGGAUUUACUGGGCGUAAAGGGCGCGUAGGCGGCCAGCGCAAGUCAGUUGUGAAUCUCCGGGCUUAACUCGGAAAGGUCAACUGAUACUGCGCGGCUAGAGUGCAGAAGGGGCAACUGGAAUUCUCGGUGUAGCGGUGAAAUGCGUAGAUAUCGAGAGGAACACCUGCGGCGAAGGCGGGUUGCUGGGCUGACACUGACGCUGAUGCGCGAAAGCCAGGGGAGCGAACGGG
rnacentral:rRNA from 1 species